rnacentral:rRNA from 1 species
GACGUAGGGCGCGAGCGUUGUCCGGAUUUAUUGGGCGUAAAGAGCUCGUAGGCGGCUUGUCGCGUCAACUGUGAAAACCCGUGGCUCAACCAUGUGGUCUGCAGUCGAUACGGGCAGGCUAGAAUUCGGUAGGGGAGACUGGAAUUCCUGGUGUAGCGGUGAAAUGCGCAGAUAUCAGGAGGAACACCGGUGGCGAAGGCGGGUCUCUGGGCCGAUAUUGACGCUGAGGAGCGAAAGCGUGGGGAGCGGACAGG